rnacentral:rRNA from 1 species
AUACGGAGGAUGCGAGCGUUAUCCGGAUUUAUUGGGUUUAAAGGGUGCGUAGGCGGCCUUGUAAGUCAGCGGUGAAAUUUUGCAGCUUAACUGUAAAAGUGCCGUUGAUACUGUGAGGCUAGGAUUUGGUUGCUGUGGGUGGAAUGUGUGGUGUAGCGGUGAAAUGCUUAGAGAUCACACAGAAUAUCGAUUGCGAAGGCAGCUCACAAAGCCAAGAUUGACGCUGAGGCACGAAAGUGUGGGGAUCAAACAGGAUUAGAUACCCUGGUAGUCCACACUGUAAACGAUGAUAACUCGCUGUCGGCGAUAUACAGCCGGUGGCCAAGCGAAAGCGAUAAGUUAUCCACCUGGGGAGUACGACCGCAAGGUUGAAACUCAAAGGAAUUGACGGGG